AUGGAAAAGUUUUUAGGUGAUUGUACACUAAGAGUGUGGUAUUAUCUCACUGAAGAAUGGAAAGUCAACGUGUGUGGAGAAAACACUGCCAGUAUCAUAAAUGCUCCUCUGCUUGACAGAUGCCUGCAAAAUUCCAUCACACCUUUGCAUGGACCUGUGUGGGUCUUUAAGAGAGAAGGUUUCAGCCUCUCAGGAGCAAAGAUAAAUAUCCCAGGACUUCUAUUGGCCCUGCACCAGCGAUUAAAGUCUGCAAACUGUUGCAAACAGAAAUCAGAUCUGAAAAAGAAUAAGGAGGUGGAGAGUGUAUACAGGAGACAGACAGAAGGAAGAGUUUGACAAGGAGCUCAUGGUGGAAGUAGAGCAACGAGACUGGUGACCUCUUCGUUAUCCAUAAUAGAAAACAGCAGCUUUCAACAGAGAAUCCAGCCAAGCUGUAGUGUGUAGUGGUGUUGACUUGUACCUUACUAGUAUAAAUGCAAGAACUACACUUCAUAUCAGAAAUUUUAUCUAAACUGCCUCCUGAGCAUCUAAGUUUGGUGAGAGAAGGCAGUUUCUAUCUACUCCCUCCUGCUGUAGACUUCUGUGGUAUUAUACAGGCUGAUAUUCCCCAUCAAGCUGUAGAAUAAAAUACCAUAUGUGCUUUUUUAGUUUGUGAAAUAUACACAAGUGGUAUGAAACAAAACAUUUUUGUUUCUAAAUGCACAUUUAAACUUUAUAGAUGCAAGUGUGCUAUGGAGCUGUCCUUCAUAAGAUGAAAUGUGUACAAAAAUAAUUUUCUCUUUUAUUUGUCUUCAUUUUGUCUUCAUCUCUGAUAUCUUACGAUUUUGGAAGGUGCAUAAAUAGUUAUAACAUUUCAUUCUUAUAUGCCACAUAUUCUGUAUGUUGGUAUCUAAGAGGAAAAUAGAAGUCUGUAGGAAAGCCAUUAAUCAGAAGCACUAAAUGCAAAAGGUAAAAAUUAAUGAAUUUGCUAAUGGCUUUCUCCUAUAUCCCUGCUGUUAUCAUUCAGUUGCUUUCAUUUAUCUGCAGUUUCUUCACCUCAAAAGAGUAUUUACACAAACAUGCUUACUUCUAGCAUUGCAAGCAUUUAAUACUGAAAUAGCAGCUUCAAAUAAAUAACACUCUAAGGUGAUGUUAUUGGAAACAUGGCAUUUCUGUCCUCAAGAGAAAAGUCUCUUAGGAGCUGGAAAUGAAAGUAUUAUAACUAACCAGAUACCCCAGGUUUUCAAAAUCUAUAUGCAUUACACUAAAAUUGUGUAUUGAGGAAGAGGGCUUAAUCUAUCAUUCUUCGCUUCUACCUGUUAAGAGAAAUUCUACAGCAACUGCCUAAAAAAAUCUAUUUAUUUCAUAUUUCUAUUUGAGAGAGGAAGUGUCUUCAUAUGUUGUCU
rnacentral:lncRNA from 1 species